rnacentral:rRNA from 13 species
UUCCUUGUCGGGUAAGUUCCGACCCGCACGAAAGGUGUAACGAUCUGGAUACUGUCUCAGAGAGAGACUCGGUGAAAUAAAACUAUCUGUGAAGAUGCGGAUUACCUGCACACGGACAGAAAGACCCUAUGAAGCUUUACUGUAACCUGGAAUUGCUCUCAAGCUUAUUUUGCGCAGCUUAGGUGGGAGGCUAUGAACCUUUUCUUCUGGGAAGAGGGGAGCCGUCAGUGAGAUACCACUCUUGGUAAGCUAGAGCGCUCAGUCUUAACCGUCAUCCGGUAAGACGACAGUUUCAGGCGGGCAGUUUGACUGGGGCAGUCACCUCCCAAAAGGUAAUGGAGGUGUGCAAAGGUUCCCUCAGGCUGGACGGAAAUCAGCCAUAGAGUGUAAAAGCAAAAGGGAGCUUGACUGCGAGACUGACAUGUCAAGCAGAGACGAAAGUCGGCUUUAGUGAUCCGACGGUGCUGUGUGGAAAGGCCGUCGCUCAACGGAUAAAAGUUACUCUAGGGAUAACAGGCUAAUCUCCCCCAAGAGUUCACAUCGACGGGGAGGUUUGGCACCUCGAUGUCGGCUCGUCGCAUCCUGGAGCGGAAGUACGUUCCAAGGGUUGGGCUGUUCGCCCAUAGAAAGCGGCACGCGAGCUGGGUUCAGAACGUCGUGAGACAGUUUGGUCCAUAUCCUGUGUAGGCGUUUAGAGCAUUGAAAGGAUCUCCCCUUUGUACGAGAGGACCAGGUGGGGACAGACCGCUAGUGUACCAGUUAUCCCGCCAGGGGUAAACGCUGGGUAGCUAUGUCUGGAGCAAAUAACUGCUGAAAGCAUAUAAGUAGGAAGUUCACCUUAAGAUGAGUGCUCUUUUGU